ACACACACACACACACACACACACACAGAGUCAAGGUAUCGGAGAUAAAUAAAUGAGUUCUGGAGUUCAUGUGAUAUUAGGUGAACUCAUAUUAAUUUCUUGUUUUGUAGGUAAAAAGGAUCAAAUACAGGCAAUUUCAUUUGUUCAACCUCUAAUUGCCCCAUAUUUGCAGUUUAUUACAGUUGGAAAAGGACUUGGCAGGUUUAUUUACAGGUAAUACACCUAACAUCCCUUUAGAUUACAUGACUUACCAAACUCCAAACACAUACCAGUAAAAAACUGGACACCAAAUCAGCCCAGGUUCUUUAAUUUUGAAAGGCAAGUUGGUGGUAUGUAGUAAAAAGUAUGUAACAGUAAUCAUGCUUUCUUUUUUGGAGGGGGGGGGGUCAUGGGGCUUGAACUCAGAGCCUAGGCACUGUCCCUGAGCUCUUCAGCUCAAGGCUAGUGCUCUACCACUUUGAGCUACA